GAUGAACGCUAGCUACAGGCUUAACACAUGCAAGUCGCGGGGCAGCAUGGGGGUUGCUUGCAAUCCCCGAUGGCGACCGGCGCACGGGUGAGUAACGCGUAUCCAACCUGCCCUUCACCACGGGAUAACCCGGCGAAAGUCGGACUAAUACCGUAUGUUGUCCAUUGACGGCAUCCGAUUUGGACGAAAGGUUUGGCGGUGAAGGAUGGGGAUGCGUCCGAUUAGCUGGACGGCGGGGUGACGGCCCACCGUGGCGACGAUCGGUAGGGGUUCUGAGAGGAAGGUCCCCCACACUGGAACUGAGACACGGUCCAGACUCCUACGGGAGGCAGCAGUGAGGAAUAUUGGUCAAUGGGCGUAAGCCUGAACCAGCCAAGUAGCGUGCAGGAUGACAGCCCUAUGGGUUGUAAACUGCUUUUAUGCGGGGAUAAAGUGGCCCACGUGUGGGUUUUUGCAGGUACCGCAUGAAUAAGGACCGGCUAAUUCCGUG
rnacentral:rRNA from 1 species